ACCUAGCCGCAACCGACGGCUCCCGACGACGGAUCAGUACCGGGUACGCGACAAGACUGGCCAAG
rnacentral:ncRNA from 1 species